UAUGAGGGAAUGAGUGACAAGACCAUAUUCUUGGUAUUCUUAUGCAAAUAGGCCUGGUCUAGUGGAUCUGCAGGGCUCUGGAGCACCCUGGGGAUGGGCCCUGAUGUGUCUCUCCUGCAGGGGUGCUGGCACUGUGGGUCCUGGUGACGCACGUGAUGUACAUGCAAGAUUAUUGGAGGACCUGGCUCAAGGGGCUGCGUGGCUUCUUCUUCGUGGGCGUCCUCUUCUCGGCCGUCUCCAUCGCUGCCUUCUGCACCUUCCUCGUGCUGGCCAUCACCCGGCAUCAGAGCCUCACAGACCCCACCAGCUACUACCUCUCCAGCGUUUGGAGCUUCA
rnacentral:lncRNA from 1 species